CCUACGGGUGGCAGCAGUGGGGGAUAUUGGGCAAUGGGCGCAACCCUGACCCAGCAACGCCGCGUGAAGGAAGAAGGCUUUCGGGUUGUAAAGCUCUUUUGUCAGGGACGAAGCAAGUGAUGGUACCUGACGAAUAAGCCACGGCUAACUACGUGCCAGCAGCCGCGGUAAUACGUAGGGGGCAAGCGUUAUCCGGAUUUACUGGGUGGAAAGGGCGUGUAGGCGGGACAGCAAGUCAGGUGUGAAAACCAAGGGCCCAACCUGUGGCCUGCUUUGGAAACUGUAGUUCUUGAGUACAGGAGAGGCAGACGGAAUUCCUAGUGUAGCGGUGAAAUGCGUAGAUAUUAGGAGGAACACCAGUGGCGAAGGCGGUCUGCUGGACAGCAACUGACGUUGAGGCGCGAAAGCGUGGGGAGCAAACAGGAUUAGAUACCCGUGUAGUC
rnacentral:rRNA from 1 species